rnacentral:rRNA from 1 species
CAGCCGCCGCGGGAAUACGAAGGGGGCUAGCGUUGUUCGGAAUUACUGGGCGUAAAGCGCACGUAGGCGGAUAUUUAAGUCAGGGGUGAAAUCCCAGAGCUCAACUCUGGAACUGCCUUUGAUACUGGGUAUCUUGAGUAUGGAAGAGGUGAGUGGAAUUCCGAGUGUAGAGGUGAAAUUCGUAGAUAUUCGGAGGAACACCAGUGGCGAAGGCGGCUCACUGGUCCAUUACUGACGCUGAGGUGCGAAAGCGUGGGGAGCAAACAGGAUUAGAGACCCCGGUAGUCCCUGUCUCUUAUAC